rnacentral:lncRNA from 1 species
GAACACAAUUAGGCACAAGGAUUGAAUUGAGGCUCAUAGGUUGCUUAAAUUUUAGAGAAGCCCAAUUCCCCGGCCUCUUAGGCAUCUUGAUCCUUUCACACCACCAACCUACUAUAAACCAGUGGUUGUUGCUGAUGCACCUGGACCUGUUGACACCGUUUUUGGACACGUAUCCAGGGAUCGGUAAAGAAUAGAUCGGCAGAAGGAACAACGGUAACUAGUCUACAAGGAAGUUGCCGAUGAAGAGGCAGUUGAAUGUGACUAAGUUCAGAGGUGGUGACGUGUUCGUGCCAAUGAUCAGAAUUAGUUUGCCGAUGGCCAUAACAGGAGGUCUGCCGAUGACUUUGAAGAAGAGCGUAGAGAUUGCCGAUUGAUCCGUGGCGGUGUCCAGGUCGGUUACAAGGGGAUAGUUUUAUGUUUUCCUUCGUUAUUUAAAUUCGUCUUGUGCACGAAUUCCGUUUGAUUUGGAAUUUGAGUCCUAGUCGUGUCUGAUUGUAGCUCUUUUUAGCAGGGUAUAAAUAUAGACCAUAGGGCCUUGUAAUGAGGAUAUCGAUCAAUCAAUCAAACACAAGUUUUUACUCAUAUUCCAG